CCUACGGGGGGCAGCAGUGAGGAAUAUUGGUCAAUGGGAGAGAUCCUGAACCAGCCAAGCCGCGUGAGGGAAGACGGCCCUAUGGGUUGUAAACCUCUUUUGUCGGAGAACAAAACCCGGGACGUGUCCCGGACUGCGUGUAUCCGAAGAAAAAGCAUCGGCUAACUCCGUGCCAGCAGCCGCGGUAAUACGGGGGAUGCGAGCGUUAUCCGGAUUUAUUGGGUUUAAAGGGUGCGUAGGCGGCGCUUCAGGUCAGCGGUGAAAUACCGGGGCUCAACCCCGGGGCUGCCGUUGAAACCGGAGCG
rnacentral:rRNA from 1 species